rnacentral:lncRNA from 1 species
GCACUUUAUGGGUAACAGGGCGUAUUCAAGCCUGCGAAUUUUCAAUGAUGCUUUCAAAAACUCAGUUUAUGAGGAGAGAAGUCAAGUCACAGCUUCCUUCUGCGUCCGGGUGAAGUGUGCCUCCUCAGGUGCGGGGACCCCUGCGCUCACUUCCGUCCCACACCUGCUCACUGCUUUGGGAUUGUUCCGUUGUUUAUCUGCUUCUCCACCAGAAUGAUCACUCCACAGGCAAAG